CUUGCUAAGUUUGAUGGCGACCGGCGCACGGGUGAGUAACACGUAUCCAACCCGCCGAUGACUCGGGGAUAGCCUUUCGAAAGAAAGAUUAAUACCCGAUGGCAUAGUUCUUCCGCAUGGUGGAACUAUUAAAGAAUUUCGGUCAUCGAUGGGGAUGCGUUCCAUUAGGUUGUUGGCGGGGUAACGGCCCACCAAGCCUUCGAUGGAUAGGGGUUCUGAGAGGAAGGUCCCCCACAUUGGAACUGAGACACGGUCCAAACUCCUACGGGAGGCAGCAUG
rnacentral:rRNA from 1 species